AGUGAACGCUGGCGGUAGGCCUAACACAUGCAAGUCGAACGGCAGCACAGGAGAGCUUGCUCUCUGGGUGGCGAGUGGCGGACGGGUGAGGAAUACAUCGGAAUCUGCCCAGUCGUGGGGGAUGACGUAGGGAAACUUACGCUAAUACCGCAUACGACCUUCGGGUGAAAGAGGGGGAUCGCAAGACCUCUCGCGAUUGGAUGAGCCGAUGUCGGAUUAGCUAGUUGGCGGGGUAAUGGCCCACCAAGGCGACGAUCCGUAGCUGGUCUGAGAGGAUGAUCAGCCACACUGGAACUGAGACACGGUCCAGACUCCUACGGGAGGCAGCAGUGGGGAAUAUUGGACAAUGGGCGCAAGCCUGAUCCAGCCAUACCGCGUGGGUGAAGAAGGCCUUCGGGUUGUAAAGCCCUUUUGUUGGGAAAGAAAUCUUUCAGGCUAAUACCCUGGGAGGAUGACGGUACCCAAAGAAUAAGCACCGGCUAACUUCGUG
rnacentral:rRNA from 1 species